rnacentral:lncRNA from 1 species
CCUGAUAUGUAUGUUUUUGAUCAUUUGAUUGUAAUCAUCAAGAGAUUCCUAGGAUUUUAUGUUCCGAUGCUCUUAUUUAAUUGUUAAACUUUAUCUUUAAUUAUUGAAUGCAUGUUAAAAAUUUUGAAAUCUAUAUUCCACUCCAUCAUCGAAAUCCAACAUGAGUCCCACAUGCACACUUGAUAAAGAGAAAAAUGGUAAAGGGAUAGACCAAAAGAUC